UCCCUGGUAGCUCAGACGGUAAGAGCAUUGGUUGGGUGAGAAAGCUGAUCACUACACCGAUGGUCUUGGGUUCGAUCCCUACCCGGGGCU
rnacentral:tRNA from 1 species